rnacentral:snoRNA from 1 species
AACAGUAACUUAAAAAGAAUCUUAAACUACAAGGAAGUGAAGGUUUCAUACAUUAGAAGACCCUGGUAAAUGCCGAAACAAUCUCAGAAAAACCAGCUGCAAAAUAUUUUUUUAGUCAUGACAGAAAAGUACCCGGAAUAUACAAUA